rnacentral:snRNA from 1 species
AGCUUUGGGCAGUGGCAGUAUCGUAGCCAAUGAGGUAUAUCUGAGGUGCAAUUAUUGCUAAUUAAAG